rnacentral:lncRNA from 1 species
CUGAGAUAUUCUCUGCCAUAAGCUUCUAAGAACUGUGCAUUAAUACUUGUUAUUAGGUAAAGAUCUAAUAAUAUCAUUAAUACUGAAAUAUAAGUGAUUAACAAAAUGUUAUCUUCCACAGGGAUAUUUGCAUUUUAUCAGGCAAACAAAGCCUUAAGCCAAAGAAAUCAGUUUUUCUCACAGAUAUUUUAGUGCAGUCUUCCCUCUGAACUUCUGUCACAUGUGGGAUCCAAUGCUGGACAAGAUCAUGGAGUGACUACUAUUUUUCAUGUUCCCAAAUGCACUUUUGUAAACUACAAAAUAUUAAACAAAAGUGAAUACUCAUUAUCUCUGUGAUCAUAUGAUCAUCUCAAAUUUCUCUGGAGCCAGGAGAAACUGACAGUGGAUAAUCAGAUCAUUGGUGAAGUGGAUUAUAAAAAUGGAUGUUACUUACUGAGGUGUUCCUGAAGUACUCUGUGGCCAUUCUAUGCACUGAGCAACAUGGACUGAGGGACCUCUGGAACUACUGGAAAUGACAGUAUUCUACUAUUCAUAUCAUUCUACAUUUGAAGACACUAUGCCCUCCCCCCUCCCGCCAAGUCCAAGUGCUCUGGGUUUGUGAAGUUUCAUCAUGGAAAAAGUAAAGGUAGAUAUAUGCAUA